rnacentral:rRNA from 1 species
AUGGCGCCGCUACCUCACUAUAGAUGUGGCUGUGCUUGCUGCUGCACCUCCUGCCGGCCCCUGCUGAGGCAUGGCCGUCUCAUCAGCAAGCUCGCCUCCGUCCGUCCUGCGUUGCGCCCCUGCUGGCCUCGCCGGAAUUCGUCAAGUUCAGCACAGCCGCGCCCUCUAACCUCCCCUGUUACCCGCGCCGUCACCGUUCGUCUUCAACCCCGGGACCGCUGCUUCGUCAUCCACCUCGGCUCUGGCCACCAUGAACGCCUCUUGCCCAAGCUCUUCCUCCUGUGGGGUGUAGAGCUGCACCACCACCACCCGGAGGCCCCUUGCAGUCUUCGUUUCGGAACACCAAGAAGCUGA